rnacentral:rRNA from 1 species
AAAAGGUGGCUAUGCUACCGCUUUUGGAUGGGCCCGCGGCGCAUUAGCUAGUUGGUGGGGUAAAGGCUUACCAAGGCAAUGAUGCGUAGCCGAACUGAGAGGUUGAUCGGCCACAUUGGGACUGAGACACGGCCCAAACUCCUACGGGAGGCAGCAGUAGGGAAUCUCCCACAAUGGGCGAAAGCCUGAUGGAGCAACGCCGCGUGGGUGAAGAAGGUCUUCGGAUCGUAAAACCCUGUUGUUAGAGAAGAAAGUGCGUGAGAGUAACUGUUCACGUUUCGACGGUAUCUAACCAGAAAGCCACGGCUAACUACGUGCCAGCAGCCGCGGUAAUACGUAGGUGGCAAGCGUUAUCCGGAUUUAUUGGGCGUAAAGGGAACGCAGGCGGUCUUUUAAGUCUGAUGUGAAAGCCUUCGGCUUAACCGGAGUAGUGCAUUGGAAACUGGGAGACUUGAGUGCAGAAGAGGAGAGUGGAACUCCAUGUGUAGCGGUGAAAUGCGUAGAUAUAUGGAAGAACACCAGUGGCGAAAGCGGCUCUCUGGUCUGUAACUGACGCUGAGGUUCGAAAGCGUGGGUAGCAAACAGGAUUAGAUACCCUGGUAGUCCACGCCGU